rnacentral:rRNA from 1 species
AACGAACGCUGGCGGCAGGCUUAACACAUGCAAGUCGAACGCACUCUUCGGAGUGAGUGGCAGACGGGUGAGUAACGCGUGGGAAUCUACCCAGUCCUUCGGAAUAGCUCCUGGAAACGGGAAUUAAUACCGGAUACGCCCUUUUGGGGAAAGAUUUAUCGGGAUUGGAUGAGCCCGCGUAAGAUUAGCUAGUUGGUGGGGUAAUGGCCUACCAAGGCGACGAUCUUUAGCUGGUCUGAGAGGAUGAUCAGCCACCCUGGGACUGAGACACGGCCCAGACUCCUACGGGAGGCAGCCGUGGGGAAUAUUGUACAAUGGGCGCAAGCCUGAUCCAGCCAUGCCGCGUGAGUGAUGGAGGCCUUAGGGUUGUAAAGCUCUUUCACCGGUGAAGAUAAUGACGGUAACCGGAGAAGAAGCCCCGGCUAACUUCGUGCCAGCAGCCGCGGUAA